rnacentral:rRNA from 1 species
AACGAACGCUGGCGGCAUGCCUAACACAUGCAAGUCGAACGAGACCUUCGGGUCUAGUGGCGCACGGGUGCGUAACGCGUGGGAACCUGCCCUUAGGUUCGGAAUAACUCCCCGAAAGGGGUGCUAAUACCGGAUAAUGUCUUCGGACCAAAGAUUUAUCGCCUUUGGAUGGGCCCGCGUUGGAUUAGCUAGUUGAUAGGGUAAAAGCCUACCAAGGCGACGAUCCAUGGCUGGUCUGAGAGGAUGAUCAGCCACACUGGGACUGAGACACGGCCCAGACUCCUACGGGAGGCAGCAGUGGGGAAUAUUGGACAAUGGGCGAAAGCCUGAUCCAGCAAUGCCGCGUGAGUGAUGAAGGCCUUAGGGUUGUAAAGCUCUUUUACCCGGGAUGAUAAUGACAGUACCGGGAGAAUAAGCUCCGGCUAACUCCGUG